rnacentral:rRNA from 1 species
AUUACCGCGGCUGCUGGCACAGAGUUAGCCGGUGCUUAUUCUGUCGGUAACGUCAAAACAGCAAGGUAUUCGCUUACUGCCCUUCCUCCCAACUUAAAGUGCUUUACAAUCCGAAGACCUUCUUCACACACGCGGCAUGGCUGGAUCAGGCUUUCGCCCAUUGUCCAAUAUUCCCCACUGCUGCCUCCCGUAGGAGUCUGGACCGUGUCUCAGUUCCAGUGUGGCUGGUCAUCCUCUCAGACCAGCUAGGGAUCGUCGCCUAGGUGGGCCAUUACCCCGCCUACUAGCUAAUCCCAUCUGGGUUCAUCCGAUAGUGAGAGGCCCGAAGGUCCCCCUCUUUGGUCUUGCGACGUUAUGCGGUAUUAGCCACCGUUUCCAGUGGUUAUCCCCCUCUAUCGGGCAGAUCCCCAGACAUUACUCACCCGUCCGCCACUCGUCACCCAAGGAGCAAGCUCCUCUGUGCUACCGUCCGACUUGCAUGUGUUAGGCCUGCCGCCAGCGUUCAAUCUGAGCCAGGAUCAAACUCU